CCUGUAUCAAGGAUAGAACAGUUUCUUCAAUUAUCAAAGAAUUGUGCAGCGAAAAAUCCUAACAUAUUAUUAGCCCUCCCUUUCACGUUCCAUUUUAAUUUAUGUUUCAUUAUUUGGCAUUUCCUUUUGUUUUAUUUGAUCCAUAACAUAGUUUGAGUUUAAAAAAAAUGACACUGUGUAAUCAAGAUGCAGGCAAAUCAAACAAUAGAAAUUUAAGAGCAUAAGGUAUAAACAGUAAUUACCAUCUACUAGACUUAAAACCAUAGCAGAACUAGUGUUGAGUUCUGGUUGCAAGAGAGGUCCAACAACCAAUGCCGGGUUCAUUGUAACCAAGUCAAUAUUGUUUUCUUUCGCAAAUUUCCAGGCAGCAUCUUCGGCCAAAGUCUUUGAGAGGUUAUACCAUAACUAAAACAUAAAUAGGAAAAACAAGGAAUGUGAAAAACAGGGUAACAUAGUAUUACAGUACAAUAGUUAUUGUGUAAUCAGUGUUCAGAGACAAUUAAUUGUUAUCUUUUAAGAAGCACAAAACAUUAUCAUAUCUACUAUUUGUGUAGUUCUCCAAUGAUGUUUAAUCUCGGUAGUAAGGAUUAACAAGUUGAUUAGGGGAAACAGCACAUACCCCAUUUUCCUUACAAUAUUCAGGAUCGGAAUACCAAGUCUCGUCAACCACAACAUCAGGGGUUUUAGGCCUGUAGUUGAACGAAACUGCAGCAACGGAAGAAGUUAAAACGACGCGUUUCAGCGUGGGCGACUUCACACACGAUUUCAGAACAUUCAGAGUUCCCUUCAAAGCUGGAUCCAACAACUCAGUCUGAAAUACAUAAAGUAAAAUCAAAAUAUCACAAUCCACAGAUAAAAACAAAAUGCACAAAUCGAAUUGCAAUGCAAACGAAACAAACCUGCGGAUCUUUGGCAUUGUUAAAAAACGGAGAAGCAGUAUGAAACACAGCGUGAACACCUUCAACGGCAGAGUCAAAGGAACCUUCUUCUAGAAGAUUCGCCUUCACGAGAUGCAACCUCUCCUUGGCACCAUCAAGGUUAAGCAAGUGAUCAACCUUACUGGAAUUAUCUGCACAUCACAAAUUAUCCAAACUUUAAUUUUCGAAAUAGUAAUCAGCAUCAGCAUCACCACAAAUAAUCACCGACGAAAACAAAAAGUUAUGGAAGACAAAAGAAAGCACAUACUUGGAUCGCGAACGGUGGCCUUAACAGUGUAACCGCGUUCGAGAAGAAACUUGACGACCCAGGAAGCAAUGUAACCGGAAGCACCGGUGACACACACUACUUGUCCAGCUCCGGUGCUCAUUCUGGAUUAUGUUCUUCUACUCUGAGAUGAUUCUCUCUGUUGAGUGUUGUUGUUCUGUGUUAUGUUGACUCAAUCACAAACAAACUCACCUUUUUUUAAAGAACCAAAAAAAGUUUGCGUUUUCAAUUUGGAAAGGUUUUACUGGGGGCGUUUCCAUCUGAAUAGGUGUCCGUGGGCCAUUUCCAAAUAUAUCCAAAACCAUGAUUUUAAAAUACAGAGUAUCAUAACACGUAUCAUCAUAUAAAUUUUUAAAUUAUGACUUGCAAAUAAAUUUUUCAUCAUAAAAAUAAAAGACAUUUCUAUCAACACUAAACAUAAUGUAGCUAUUAUAAGAAUAUUUUACUAAAAUAAAAUUAAAUAUAUUUUUCGUCUUCUCUAAAAAAAGUCUAUAAUCUAAAUUUUAGAAGUUUUUUUUUAAUAAAAAAAAACUAUUGAAAUGUGAUAAAUAGAUUUUAAUUAUAGAUUAGGAGGUUAGAAUAUUUUGUGUUAAUUUAACGCUAACACGUGUUAAUAUCAUAAUAAGAAAAAACACGGUUAAACUAAAAUCUUAAAAUGAUUCAUUUAGAUUCUAUUUCACGUGGUUGUGGUUGAUAUAAUAUUAUAAUAACAAAAUAGUGAUAAUGAUUCAUUAUAAUAGUUGUUAUUAUAAAUACUCUAAAAUUUAAAUUAAAACAAAACAAAUUUGGUGGGACAAAAAGAAGAUAUUUAAUUCUUAAAACAAAAAUCAUAAGUAGAUAAGGCAAUUAAACUGUGAAACAUAAAUGAAAGAAAGAGACGUGGAUUAAUAGAAAUCCAUAACAUAUUAUUGAGAAUGCGACCCCAAAAGUCUGGGAAGAAGCAAAAAUAGUGUUGAUUUGAAGAGUACAUUGAGCCGUAACAUGCAAGAUUUGGUUAUGUUUAUUUUUUGGUGACGUUGUAUGCAGAUAACGUUUUAGUCUCAACUGUCUAAACUACAAAACAAUAUUAAAUAUCAUAUUGUACUUAUAAAGAUUUAUACUUAGACCGGGUCCAGUCUAGGUAAGAAUGACGCAUUCGUUGACGUUAAGAUUUUAUAAUGUUUUAUGCGCUGCCUUCAAAUUUUAGUAUUCUAUUUCUUUAUUUUUCUAUAAAUAAAUAAAUAAUAAACGAAUAAAUUUUAGUUUAGAGAUUUGUAAGAAAAAUAUUUUGAUUCCUCUAACAUUAAAAUAAUUAAUUUUAAAUUUUUAAUAUUUGUAUUAAACUAAACUAUGCGAUUAAACAAUGAAUAGUUAAAAACACAGGUGAAUUGGUUUAAAGAAUAUUUUCUUAUAUUUUAUGAGAUAAUAGAUUAUUUUUUAUUUAUAAUCGAUUAUAUAUAUAAACAAACAUUUUAAAUUUAGUUAAAAUAAUUAAUUAUUCACUGUUUAUUUGCAAGAAGAAACAUUUUAGAUAUAAUUGAUAUAAUCAGUUAUUUAUUGUUCGUCGACUAUAUACGAAAAUAUACAUAUAUUUUAGAUUUAAUUAACAUAAUUAAUUGUUAAAUUUUUAUAAUCUAUUAUCUACAAAAUAUAGUGAAAUUUAUGCGUGGUUUAACUUUAGGUAAUUGAUUAUAAUUUUAAUAUAAUUAAUUAUUAUGUUUAGAAAAAUAUAAAACCAGUUUUUUUAAAAUUCAAAAUUGUUAAAGAUUAUUUUAAAGAUGGAUUAUUUUUUACAUUUUAUUAUAGUAAAAUAAUGAACAAUUGAUAAAUGAAUCAUCGAUGAUAAGUUCAACACCAUCAAAAUCAAUACAUCAUAGUUUGGUAAAAUUUAAAAGUAUUAAAAUUGUAGUGUACUAUGAUAUCAAGUUACAUAAACACAUCUAGAAGUUCUAUGAUUAAUUAUCAUUUAUUUAUUUAGAAGCAAAUAUUGAGAAUUAAAUUUAAGAAUUAUAAAAAUACAAAUACAAAUUAGAAAAAUAAACUAAUAUUUUUAUAAAAAUAUAUUGGUUUUAAAAUUUAUAGAAAAAUACUAUAAAAAAAGCUUAAUAAUGUAAGAAUUAAAAAUGUAUUCAUACUAAAAGUAAAUAGUUUUGUAACAAUUUGUCUAAAUGGUUAAAGUUCUUAUUCUCAUCUAGUUUAUCAUUUCUCAUUGAUAGAAUGUGUAAAUAUAUUUUCUUGCAAAUUACGAAUCUAAACACAUAGAAGUAAACAUAAAUGUGAGAAAAUUACUUAUAAAAAAGUUUGUCUCUUUUAUGUUCUUUUUCGCUAUUAAAAUAGUUUACAUGUACACUAAAAUGUUUCUAAGCAUACUUUUUUAUGAAUUCUGAGUCCAUCUUACAAGAAUCCCUUAUAGGAGUGUGAUAAAACAAGUAAAUAUUUUUGUCAAUAUUUUUAAUAUUUUUUGUAAUAUUUUAUAUUAGAAUAGAUAAUUAGUUAAGUUUUUUUAUAGCCUUUAAUUAUAUUGAUAGUGUUUUAUAUAAUGAAAUCUUUGAAUGAAAUAAAAUCACAAAAUAAUUUCAUUACUUCUCUCUCCAUUUUUUAAAUGUUACCAACUACUCCCUCUUAUCAACAACUCGUCCCUACCAUUACAUCCAACUCUUAUCUUCUUCCCUUUUAAAUUCAAAAUUUGCACUUUUCAUAACAUGUAAGGUUCUUAUAGCUUAUGUAAGAGAUGCAACUUCCCAACGGAACGUAAAAUAAAUACAUAAAUAAUAAAAGUUUAAAUUCACGAAAGUAUUAGUUUUUUUAAUAUAAAAUAAUAUUAAUAAAAUAUUAAAUUUAUGUGAUUCUGCAUUGUGUUGCAUUUUCUGCUAUGACUAAUGUUUCUUGGAUGUUUUGUAAUAGGUGAAACACUUAUCUUAACAACCAUGGAAAAAUCAGGUUUAAGGUUUCUCACAUUUAUUGUUAAGGGAAUCAAUAUACUAAUAAGGUUGUUAACUUAGGCUUUAUUCAUAAAAAGUAUUUUCAUUGAUAUAAUAAACUUUCAUCUAGUUUUUUAUUAAUAGAUAUAAAUUCCUUAUGUACCGUUUUUGUUAAUAUAUGAGUUUUGGUCUAAUAUUUCAUAUUUUCUUUUAUUUUUCUAAUUUUUUUUUUUAAUAAUAUUUUUUUCCAUAUAAUCACAAAUGAUUGUUGUUUAUUGAAGUGUUAGCCUAACUGAGAUAUCAAGUUCAUAAUGAUAUCUAAUAUAAAAGUUCUAAAAAAUAUUAUUAUUAUUUUUACUAUUUUAUUAUAAUAUAAUAUGAUUAGAAAUAAUUAAUUAUUAUUUACGUUUAUGUAUUUUAAUUAUUUAUUAUGUUACAAUAAAAAUGAAAUAUUUUAUUAUACUUUAUUUGAAAUUAAUCAAUUAUGUAAUUUAUAUAUGUAUUUUUUAUUGGGAAGCGGGAAGCUAAUAAAUUGUAUUUAAUUUGUGGUGAUUCUGCGCCUGAGUUAGUGGUCUUUGGGUCCUUCUUUUUGGUCGGUUAUCGGAAAAAGAGGGUCCAAUAGGGACGAAACAAUUGUAAGAGUACACGUGAUUCACGUACAAUGAAACUAUUGGAUUAUCAACUUUCCACGUCACAUUGCAUGUCUUUUACUCCUUUAUUGAAAGCAACGUUUUAAUUGUAAAAUUGCAUCAGAUCUAUUCCUUAUUUCUGAUAACCAAUAAGUAUAUGGGGAAUGUAUUUGGGUGCAAUUUAAGGCAAAAGCACCAAAAUGCUGCAAUUCCUGUUCAAAAUUAUUAGAAUGGAAAAAGAAAAAGUCAUUGUAGAAAUAGGUAAGUGUUAAGACAAAAGCACAAGUUUGUUUUAUUGAUGUUUUUCUAUAUUUGUGGUGUGGAGUUUGAACAUGAAUUUAAUUAACGACAAAAUGUUAUUGACAUAAACGAUUUUAGUUGGGUAUGUACAGCAAGACUUUAGUUUUGUAAAAGAAAUAUUUUUUUAAAUGAAAUUAUUAAUUAAAUUGUUAAAAAUUUGACAAAUUUUUUAUUUAUUUAUUUGAGAAAGAUUUAGUUAUUUUUUAAUUUAAAAAUUAAUUGAAAAAUAAUGUUAAAAUCCUAAACAAUACACUAUAAAAUAUAAACUUUAAAGAAGAUGUCAGAGGUGAACCUUAAAUCUUAAACUCAAAGAUAAAAACUCUAAAACAUAAAAUGUAAACCGUAAAAUGUAAAACUAGUGUGAACCCUUGAUCAUAAAGUGUGAAACCCUAAAAUUUCAAACACUAAACCCUAGAGCUAAAGUCUAAAGCCUACAAUUAUUUAAGAAAUGAAUGAAAUCAAACUCAGUAAUUUAUAUAUAUAUAUAUAUAUAUAUAAUAAAAAAUUGGCUAACAAAUUGUAUAAUAUAUACUAAGUAAUUAUUUAUAACUAAUUUAAGUUAUUUGUUAUUAAUUAUGUGUAUAAAUUCGUACACAUUCAUUCUUACCCUAUUCUGACAUUCAUCAUUCUUACAGUACAAAUAUUUAUUUACCUUAUUUAAACAUUUCGUCAUGCAUACGAUUAAUAGUUGAUCUUCUUGAUUUCUUAUGUCGAAUGUGGGGGUCUGAGAUUAAAUCCGAUCCACUUUAAUCCUUAUUCCGAACGGGAUGAAAUUUAAUUUCAUAAGUCUUGUAAAUAUAAUGUAGACUAUAGAUUGGGUCAAAGAAUGUCGUUAGUGGUAAAUGACAUGUCGAACAAACAAUGAUAACAUGAGCACAUGGAAGACAGAGAGGUUGAAAUUUUCCACAGUCACACCACUGAUCAUCUAGUUUGACUGUGUAUGACAUAAGUCGACGUCGAAGUUGGGGAGUGACAAGUUCCUGAACAUCAAACUCUUAAUUUUCUCUAUUAUACCUUUGGACAUGAAACAUGAUAGACUGUUGUUCAUUUUUCCAUAGUAAGAUAGUAAUAUCUCCAGGAUAUUGAUGGUCAGUUCGUAACAUGUGUUGUGUCUUGGUCCCUCAUUCAAAAACCAAGAUUUGGUUCUUUCAAAAGUUUUCUUAACUAAAGCACAAAUCGGUAAGAUUCGUACUCCCUUAAGAAUAGAGAUCAUAGACUCAACCAUAUUUGUUGUCAUGUGAUCAUACCUCCUGCCUCCAUCAUAUGCCUGAGUCCAUUUUUCCAAAAGGUAUUUGAUUUAUUCAGGCAAAAGCUUGGUGAAAUUUUGAUUGUAGAGUCUACAACUUUGCCUAUAGAGUUGGUUGUUUCAUUUCAUACCCUAUGACAAUGAAAAAAAUGAGAUUUAAAGUUCAUGUCUUUCAUGAAUAUUGAUUAAUAAAAGGAAAACAAAAUAUAUACCCAUGUUUAUCAACGGUCUCUUCAACUCAACAUUCUUGAAUUUUUUUUAUUGAAAUUUGAUGCAAUGUGGCAUAUGCAAGGAGACCAUCUACUUCCCAGCCAACCUCUAAAGAUUGUAAUGUUGAUACUAUGACCAUUCUUCUAUCAGAUAUCAUGCAUAAAUUUUGUUGUGGUGUCACAUAUGUCUGCAACAAUCGGAAGAACCAUAUAAAUGCUUCCUUGGUUUCACCUUCAACUAUUGCAAAAGCUAAAGGGAAGACGUUUCGGUUCCCAUCUUGACCAAUUGCAGUUAGCAAAGUCUCAUGAUAUUUUCCAGUCAGAAAUGUUCCAUCAACUUGGACUAUAUGUUUGUAGUAAUUGAAGUCAUCAAUGCAUGACUUGAAAAUCCAAAAUACACGUUCCAUGAUGUAACACAAAGUGUCUUAAACAUCGUCUACAACAAAAGGUCGGGUGACAUAUUGGACAAUUGUGCCCGAGACACUUUCUUGUACAACCUGCAACCAUUUUGGAAGAUGAUUAUAUGAUUCAUCACAGUCAUCAAAUUUCAUGGCAAGCGCCUUUUGUUUUGCAAUUCACGCUUUUUUGUACAUGACAGAAUAUCCAUAAUGACUUUUAAUUUCUGCAAUUAAACGUCUUAUCGGGAUAGAUGGAUUUGCCUUCACAGAGUUCAUGACAAUAGAUGCAAUUUGGGUUGAGUCUAAAUUGAUGUGAUUAUCAAAAAAGUCGUUGGCAAACAUGUAUGGGGAGCUUGAAUUUUUUUAUCUCCCACCGAUCACAAAUUUCAGUAAAGGAUGCUCUAAGCAUUGGCAGUUGUUGUUGUAAUGAAUGCAACGUGCUACAUAUCGAUCCGUCUUGGACUCAACGACGAAAAACUUAUAACCUUGAUCAACGUUGUAUUUUUUUUAUUGCGGUCAAUAUAGACUCUUUGUUACAAAAAUACAUCCGUUCAGAAAGGUCAUAUUGAAUUAAUCGUCCCGAUCGACUAUCCAAAUGAGCUUGGUGGCUUAAUGACGUCAAAAAAACAAUUUCAUCGGAUAACUCCUCAACAUCUUCGUCUUCACUAAAUUCGUGAAUCAUAUCUAUGAUUAUGUGCUCUUCCUGAAUGGUUAUAAAACUAUUUAUUUAUAGGUUAUAUAUAUAUAUAUAUAAAUAAUAAUAUUAGAAGUUAUAAUAUGGUUUUUAUAAAAAAUAUCAGUCAUUAAUAUAUCAUUAUCCUAUGUACAUUAGAAUAAUCCUCCUAUGUAAAUGAGGAUAGUAAUUCCAUUCAAUGUUGUGCUUUGAAAUCAUGUAGUGCCAAUUGCAUCUCCACAUUGUCAUGGUCAUAUAUUCAACCAAAGUACUUCUGAAAUUAUUUCUCAAUUGACUAACAUAUAUUGCUUUAGGUGUUAGACUUUUAAGAUACUCUUUAAUAUUUUUAAAUAGUGUAUAAUUUAGGAAUAGAAAUGUUAACAUUAUUUUCAAAAUUUGGUAAACUCCAUCAAGAAAACACAGGUCAGGAUAUUCAUGAAAUUCUGUCCUGUGUUCUUCAAUUCAAAGUCCAGGUCCAUGUGAGUUCAGUGCAGUGUAAGUGGGGACCACGCCAAAUUUUCUCUUUCUAUACAUUUUUUGUCAUUAUUCUUUAUUAUUCUUAAUACUUCAACCAUAAUAUUUUUUAAAUUUUAUUUUAUUAAAUAAACCAAGUAACUACUCUACAAAUGUUAAUUUUUCUUUUAUUAAAUGGUGUGCUUUUUAUUAAAAUUCAUCAUUUUCUCUGUAAGUAUCUGCCUUUUCUUUUAAAACAAUUAUAUUUAAAUUUUUACCAUUCUCUCACGACUUCACAUUGGUCUUCGAUUUUGAAUGGCACAGGUGCAGAGAGUGUGGCCAGUUUUCUGAUGCAGUGGUUCACAAUGAAAAAAUUAUUUUCAUUUUAUUUAGCAGCUUUAAAGAUGACUUGCAGAGAUUUCAAACUCUGUUAUAGAUUGAAAAAAUUAUUUAUAAAAUAAAAUUUGUGCUGACUUAUAUAUUAUGUUUUAAUUUUUAUUUGAUGUGGAAUUUAAAAAGGUGUAUAAACUUUACAGAUGUAAGACACAUUGCUUGGAGGCUUCUGAUAUAAAUUUCAAAUAUAUAUAUNNNNNNNNNNNNNNNNNNNNNNNNNNNNNNNNNNNNNNNNNNNNNNNNNNNNNNNNNNNNNNNNNNNNNNNNNNNNNNNNNNNNNNNNNNNNNNNNNNNNAUAUAAAUUGAUAGAUAUUGAUGUGAUAGAUGAUGACAUGAAUAUAGUAAGAUGUAGUGUCGGUUAGUGAAGGUUCUAGAAUAGAAAUAGUCAACGAAGAAAUGUAUGUAUAUUGAUAACUAAUUUUUUUACAAUUUUCUAACAUUAUUAUUUUAAUAAUUUUUAUAUUAUUUAAUUUUUUAUAUCUUUUAUUAUGUAUAUUUAUUUUUAAAUUCAUCACAUUAAAAAUUUUAUACUCAAAGUAUCAUUUUCCAUAAAUAUAAUAUAAUUUCCGCAUAAAUCGUGGCAUUAAUAUAAUAAGGUGGAGUGUCUUUUCAGUGAAGUAUUUAUUUAUACUAGGAAUCAUGAAUCUGUAGUGAAUAUCCUGUGUGCUUCCUAGCAGCUGCAGAAUUAGACCGUCUUACACAAAAUAUCAGUGAUUAAGGAUCUGGCUUUUGUUGUUGCUAAUGUCCCAUGCUUAUAACCAAACAAUCUUAGGCUUCUAGUUAUGUGAAAUUUAAGGUUAAUCUUAUAAAAUUAGUUUAUAGUAUAAAGUUUAUAUCUAUCUAUAAAUUAUAAAAUAUUCUAAUAUUUAGUGGAUGUAGAAUCUUCAAUACACCUUCUACACAUUGUUGUUUUAGACUAUAUAUUAUGGAUAAUCCAAUGAUGAUCUAAUAAUAGGUGAUAUGAUAAGUCCAACAAACAUUCGUCAAUUAUGAUAGAAUUUAAAUGAUUUUAAUACCAUAUUAAAAAAACUUUAAAUCUAAUUCAAUUUUAUAAAAUUAGUUUAUAAGAUAAAAUUUGUACCAAUUUAUAAACUAUAAAAUGUGAUAUUUUUAGUCUAUAUGACUUAUUUGGUGCUUCGUGUAGAGACUGUUAGAUAUGAAAAGUGUAUAAAUAAGUACAAAGAAUUAAAAAUGAUGAGCAAAGUUUAAAAUGAAUGUUUCUUAUGGUUAUAGUAAAAUUUGUACAAUUAUAAUGUGUGAGGUCUAUGUGUUGGUUAGUUUGAUGUAAUAAAUUGGGAAUCAGUUAAUUCAGUUUUGAAAUUUAUUUGAGGUAACAGUCAUUGUAACUGGUUUUCUACUUGUGGGGUCUAAUUUGUAUAAUGGAUAUCAUCAAAACCUAAUAAUAUCUACAAGGACUAUUUUUCUUCCUGCACCCUAUUUUUUUCCCCACAACUUUUACAACAACCAGUUUUUAAGAUUUCUGAAUUAUUAAUAAUGGAGUUUUUCAAAUUCAAAUUUUUAUAAAAGAAUUUCUGGAAUAAAAUGUUUAGAAUGAGAUUUCUAAAACAAUAUUUUUAUUUUUUUUAUUAAUAAUAAAUUAAUUAAAUUAAACGAAGUAUUAACGAAAUGUUUAACCCUUUCAAAGAAACUCUCAAAACUUUUACACCUUACAGAUAAGUUAUAAGUUAUAACUUUUACACUCUCAAUAUUUGAAUUUUAUAAGUUAUAAAAUAAUAGAAAAUAAAAUAAAAUACCAUAUGUUUAUCAUACGAAGAAGGUUGUGAGUAGUGAAGUUUGUUUUAAUAAUUAAUAUCAUUCAUUAAUUUUACACGCAUUAUAGAAAAAUAAUAAAAUAUUAAUUUUAAUAUAUUUUAUGAUUAAUACACACUAAUAUAUUAGAAUAAAAUAUCAUAUGUAUAAAGUAAAACACAAGUCCUUUUCUCAUUCAUGUUUCUCUACACCAUUGCAACGCCCCUUCAAGCACCAUCAAUGACCGAUUUUAAAACUGUUUUUGAAAUAAUAAAAUAUAAAAAAUAAGAUAAAUUGGUCAUACAUAUAUCUAAAUUUUAUUUAAAUAUAUAAAAAUUAUAUAAAAUAAUAAUAAUAAUAAUAAUAAUAAAAUAUUUUUUUAUCAUGUUAAAGUAUAAAUAAAAGUUUUAAUCAUUAGACAGUAAAUAUAAGAUGAUAUGGAUGAUUGUACAUAUAUUUAAACAACUCUUUAACCUCUUUAAUGUAUAUAAAAGUAGUAUAUAUUAUACAAUUACAUUAAAAGAAUGGAUAAAAACUUAACUAAAAGACUUGCUAAAUGGGAAGUUCUUUUAUAAAAUUACAUAUAAAAGAAGGCACCAAGGAUGCAAUUUAAUACAUUUUACUAAGACAGUGAUAUGACAUGAAAUAUGCAGAUUCAGAAAAUAUGAGUAUGUGAAGAAAAUUGGAAAGGGACAAAAGUUAUUUGGUUGCUGAGUUUUUUUGGCAGUGGUAGGGAAUGGAAAAACAGUUUUAACAUUAUUUUCGCAAAUUUUAACCAUUUAUUAUAGAAGAAGGGAAUCUAACUAUAUAGAGAUUAAAUUCCCAACUACUUUUUUCUUGUUUUCGUUACUAAAAUCUUAGUACAAUUUCGUUUUUGGGAAGAUUGGUUUCUCGAAGAUGAAAUUCCGGAAAGUUUUUUAUGUUUUUUUUUAAAUAAAAGUUUUUAUGUUAGACAUUAUUAUGCAACUUACAUCUCAGUUAGGUUGACACCUCCAAAUAACAACAAUCAUUUGUCAUCACAUAAAAAAAUAUUAUUAAAAAAAAUAAAAACAAAAAUAUAGAGAAACUAUAUUAAAAUGCAUAGGUUAAAAAAACACAAUAUAUAAGUAUAUUAUACCUAUUCAUAAAUAAUUCUAAGAACAAACUAUAUGGAAACCUAUUACACCAAUGAAAUUAUUCUCUAUGAAUAAAUCGUAAAUUAGUCAUCUUAUCAGCACGUACAUUCUCUUCACGAAAGAUAUAAGUAACCUUAAACUUGAUUUUCCCACAUUAAUUAAGACAAGUAUUUCAUCGAUUACGAAACAUCCAAAGAACAUUUGUCCUAGCAGUAAACACAUCAUAAAUCAAGGCAGAAUCACAUUCUAAUCUGACAUUAGUAAGCCCCAACUUUUGAGCUUCUUCCAUAGCAUCUAUAACUUCAUAAAACUCAGCAACCAGAGCAAUCUAAAUUUCAAGAAACGCAGAGAAAACUCCAAUAAAUUCCUCCAUACUCUCACGAAAAAUACCUCCACAAGUAGUAAGAUUAGGAUAUCCCCUAGCAACCCCAUCAGUGUUAAUUUUAAUCCAUCCUGAUGAAGGAAACUCCUAUCUAACAGGAAGAUGACAAAGCUUUACAAGUACAAGUAUUAAUACCAAAAAACUUAAUCACGUUGAAAUCCAACAUACCAUUCUUUAUUGAAGUUUUAGACGAAUUUCCCACUAGACAAGUUAAAUCUUUAAUAACCGAAAUAGCCCUAAAAAUCUCAAUCUUAUCCUGAAAAACGAGCAUAAUUCCUCAUACGUUAUAACAUCCAAAUAGAAAAAGUUAUAACAUCCAAAUAAAAAAAGUUAUCACAACAAGUUUAAUCAAUUUAACCAAAUGACUACCAUCACUCUUAAUGAAAGAAAGAAGAUCAUCCUUAUUAGAUAAAUGAUAGAAAAAAUUUGUCGAACCCAACUCCAAAUAUGCAAAACAUUAGAACAUUCAAAAAAUAAAUGUUGAAUAAAUUCCUUGUUCUUUUCACAAAGUGUACGCAUAGAACAAAUAGGAAGCCGCCUAUGAAAAACUUUCCAAAGUACAAGAGUUUUGGAAGGCAGAAUAUAUAAAAACCAAAUAAAUUUACCCCAACCACAAGAACUCAUGGUUCCAAGAAGAAAGGUCAAGCUGAUUUAAAAGUGAAACGAUCAGACUCAUCUAGAAUCCAAUUAGGAAUAUCUUGUUCCCCUGACCUGAUAUCGCUAAAAAGAUUAGACAUCUACGAUAAAGACAAUGAAAUAUUUCAAUCACAACCUGUCCAAAAUUGAGAAACUGUAUCCAAAAUGCUAGCACCAUCAAAUAUCUCUGCAAUAUUUGCUAAAGAAGUAGUAGAACACCAUUUAUCAUUCCAGAAAUUAAUAUUUUAAUUUAAUGUAUAUUUUAAAAUUUGAAAUUUGAGUUGAAAAGAGUUGGACACAUGGAUUGCACAUCCAAUUUCAUUUAUUUUAGAUUUUUAUUUAAGUAGAAAAUAAAAUAAUUUAAGAUUUUAUAUUUAUUUAGAAUUUUGAAAACCUUAAAAAUUUUAUUUAUUUGAGAUUUUUAUUUAAAUAAGGAUUUGUAUUUAUUUAAAAUUUUGAAUAAUUUAGAAAUUUUAUUGUAUUUCAGAUUUUAAUUUACAUAGCACAUUAAAUAAUUUAGAAUUUCUGUUUAUUGAGAUUUUAAAUAAUUUAAAUAUAUAAAAUUUCUAAAUUAUUUAAAAUUAUAAAUAAAUAUAAAUCCUAAAUUAUUGGAUAUUAUACUAAAUAAAAAAUUUACAGUAAAUAAAAUUUAAAAAUUAUUCAAAAUGUCAUGAUUUUGUCUUUCAAUAAACCUCUCCACAAAUAUUUGUAGAGAAGAAAAGAAACAAAAUUAAAUUUAGUCAUAACUCGUGUAAAAUUAAUAUAGAAAACUUCUAUAAUUAAUUGAAUUUGUUUAAAUUAAAUUUUCCAAGAAAACAAUUUUAGAAGAAAAGUAUAAAAAUAAAAUAAAUCUGUUAAUAAACUAAUUUAUAAAAAAAAAUCGUAUUAGCUUCUACAAAAUCUAAUCCUAAAUUUAUGUAUAAGUUUAUUGCAAUUUAUGAAAAAAUAACAAAUACCCAGUUCAGUAAAAAUUGCUAAAAGACUGGUUUUAUAAUUAACAGAAAAUCUACAUUCCAACUUCAAAAUUAGAAUAUUAUAAUUUAUAAUCAAUUAAUAUUAUAGAAAUGUAGAACAAUUUAGUUUAAUUGCCAAAGAGUACUGACUAAAGAAUUUAUAAAAGAAACAUAAAGAAGUACAAUAAUUUAUAAAAGAAACAAAGAAAAUAAAUAAAAAAACUUAAAAGAAACUAAAAGAAAAUAUUAAUAAAAGUGAUGAGCAGUACAUCCAAGAAAACCAGAAGAAAGUUAUUUCUCUAACUUCCUGAUUUCAUUGAAGAUUUUAUCUCAAGUGUUUCUAACGCAGGAGCAUAUUCAGUUGUUAUUUUCUCCCUGAAGGCUUCGGCCCGGCUGAUCUCCAUUAAUAUUUUCCUCUCUCAUUUUCUCAGGAACAGACGUCUCUAAUCCUGUUCUUGGCAACUCAGUAUCCCAACUUUUAAAUUGGCGAUCAAAUUAUAUGUAAUUAGUGUAGGUAAUAUUGUACCAUAUGUACUCAUAUGUAAUUAUAUAUAAUUAAUUUAAUAAUAAUAAUAGAAUCUCUUAAUUAAAUUCAGUAUCUCAAUUCAGUAGUGUAAUAUAAAAAAAAAUAUAUAAUUAUUCUAAAUUUUCAAUUUUAAAAUGAACACUCAUUAAUUAAACAAAAAAAAUUAAUAAUUACAUUAAUAAAAUAAUUAUAUUAUUAUUUCUAUUUAUAAAAUUUAAAUAUUCAAAUUCUCAUUAAUAAAUCAAAAUUUGGAUUAUUAUAAUAUAUCAAUUUGAUUCUAUUAUUUAUAUUUUUAUAAUUUAAAUAGAUUUUGUAUUUAAAUUGAAUUUUAUUUAUUAUACUAUAAGAAAAUAAGUAUAAUUUUCUCCUCUCUAUAUAAAAGAUUUCUCUAUUUAGAAUUUAAAUAUUUUCCAUUCAUAUUAAGAUAAGGUUUUGAAUGUUUUUAUUAAAUUUAAAAAUAAUUUUUGGCUUCAUUAUAAGUUUGGUUCUUAUAUUUUAUUUUAAAAUUUCUAGAUUCAGAAUUAUUGUUUUGUAUUUUUACUUUUUAAUUAAAUUCAAACGACUCAUUAAUUCAACAUAACAUUACGCGGAUCUUGAAAAUUUAAGCUUUUUGAAAUGUAGAUUAAACUUUACUUUUAUUCCCACUCCAACAAUUACUAUUCACACUCCCCUUCUCUUUUUAUAUUUUAAUUAUACAUGCUCGGAUAAGUAAUAAUAGUAACAAAGUAAAAGUUUACAUUCCAACUAUCCAUGAUUUUGUAUGUUACAGUGCUCAAAAGUGAAACUUCGAUAUAACCAUCAAAACAAAUAUAAUGAAAACUGAAAACUACAUCACAUAUAUCUUUGAGGACUUUCAUCAAACAAUUAACGGACAUUAGUAUUUAAUUAUUUUUAUAAUUACUUUGAGGAUUCACUAGUACACUACACCAAGAAUAAUGUGUUCUAAUAUCAUAGGAACAAAUCGAGAGAAGCAGAUUAAACUCUUUUUUUUAUUAAAGUUAGAAACAGAAUACACUUACACAGAAACUUAAAUUACACAGAAAUUUAAAGCUAGAAACAUAAACUACUUAUAAACAGAUACUACUUAAAGAAACUAAAACUAUUUACUUAGCUUCUUGAUUUCUGCGUAGAUCUUACGUCUAUCUCCAAUUGCAUAUAUUCCUAUUGCUUCUAAAUUUCCAUUUCGAUAUGUUAUUAGGGGAAGUGCUUUUUCAUCGAUAUGAUGUUUCUCGAACUCAGGAGCAUAGUGACUCAGCUCUAUCUCUAUAUUGGAAGUGUGUUCCAUAAACACCAGAAGUGUGCUAGAAGUUUCUGGAGAAUAACAGAAACUUUCAUUUUUUUGGCACCAGUUAGUAGAACAAUCCAGAACACCACCUUUUUUUUUUUGCUUCUACUUUAAUUUAAAUAUAAAAUAUUACUUACAUUACUUGUUUUAAUUUAAUAAUAACGCUUAUUUUAAUACUUAUUCUUUUAAUAAAAAAAUCAUUUUGUUUAUAAUUUUAAAAAGUUUAUAUUUAAACUUUAACUAUUUUUAAUUCUAAUCUAUGUAAUAUUUUAAACAAAAUAUUAAGAUGUCAUUCACUAAUGUUUAAAAAUAUUUUUAGUUUCCAAAAAAUUUAGAAAUUUUGCAUUUAGAUCCUAACAUUUUUUAAACUUUUGGUUGCUUCUAAUACAUUAUAUGCAUUGACAUUAUUUCAUGAUUAAAAACACAUAAUUUGCUGAUGAUAAAAAAAUUGAAAAACUAAAAGAAAUAUCUACAGACAUUUUAAAAAUUACUUUAAAAAAAUAAUAUAAUAAUAAGAACGGAGUAUAAAUAAAUCUUUUCAAAGACUAAAUACAAAAAAUGUAUAAACAUUUUAAGAAUAAAAAAAUACAUUAACAACUAGAUACAAAGUUCGAAAAUUUUUUAGAAAUUAAAACAUCUUUAAAUCUUAAAAAUAUUAAGAAAAUUAAUAUCUUUCCUAGAUAUAUAUUUAGAAAUUAAAGGGGUCUAAAUGAAUUUUAUUUAAAAUUUAUUGGAUGCAUGAGCAAAAGUGUAUGAAUUUCAUUAUACGCAUCAACAAAGAGUAUAAAUUUUAAUGUAUGCAUAUGAUUCAAGUUAUAAAAGUUAAAAACAUUUUUCCCAAUAUUACUGUUUGUUCUAACUCCUAAUCAAAUAUAUAUAUAUAUAUAUAUAUAUAUAUUAUUAUCAUAUGAUUAUUUUACUUUAUUCAAUUUUAAUAAAUAAAAUAGAAACUAACCAAGUCAUUUAAAGUCAAGGCAAAUGUUUUUCUAAAUUAUACAUUUUCCUUUGCAUGAAUAAACCCACACAAAUAAUAAAAUGAUGAUAAUAUAUGUAUUGUCUAAUUACUGAUGCCAAAAAUCAUUUUCACCUACAAAAUCGAUCUUUUAACCAUUACUCCUCUCGGAGUUUUAAUUUGAUACAAAUUUUUCCUGUAAUAUAUCAUUUUUUAUAUGCGACUGAAUUAAUUUUUUAAAUCCAAUUUUACUCUUGUUACGUAUUUGUUUACAAAUGUUAAUAUUCAGAAGUCACAUAAUUAAUUAUGAAUAUUGAUAUCCGGAAGUGUCAACUUUGCAUAUGGAUAUUGGCAUUCGGAAGAGUCAGCUUUGUCUAUGGAUAUUGGCAUCCGGAAGUGUCAGUUUUACCUACGAAUAUUGGCAUCCGGAACUAGCACUCUUUGACUACGGACAUCUUUAUCCAGAAGGCACCAUCAUGCUUCCGGAUAUACAUAUCUGGAAGCAAAUCAUCUUGAACUUUAUGUUUGGGCAGUGUGAUAUUUUGCUACUUUUAAUGGAUUAAAACCAUUAAACCAAACCAAACACUAAUUUGAUCAUGCGCAAGGUCGACUACCAGUAAGGCAUAGUAAGGCUUGCAUGAUUUGGUGUAGAAAAUUUUACUUAUCAGUAUUCUUUUGUUCAUUGCUAAGAGUUAAGAUAUCAUGCAUCAAUUGACUCGUCCUUAGGUUUUGACGGAAGGAAGAUCGUUUUGGCCUCUUGGAAAAAGGUUAGUGAGCCUCGCGAUAUCGGGGUAUUGGAAUUAUGAUCUAAGGAUUUUUAACUUGGCUUUGUUAGGAAAGUGGAUUUGAAGGUUGGGUUCGGAUAAGAGUGGUUAAAAGGUUAAAAGACGACGGUUAUUUUCAAUUUUAAACGGCGCGCAUUUGAUGUACACGUAGUCUUAAAUCCAAUAGAUAAGAAUAUGGCUAUUUAGCCGCAUUAGUAAAUACGAUUUAUAAAUGCGACUAUUGUAAAUAGCCGCAUUCUUAUUUAAAAAAAUAAAAAAAAUAAAAAACGCUAAAUCCUAAACCUUAACCUAAACAUUAAAAUAAAAAUUUAAAAUUUAAAACACCAUCAACCUUGUGCGUGAAAGGCAGCAACGACGACAACAGUGGAGGCAGCAACAGCAGCGGUAGCAGACGCGACAACAGAGACAUAAACGACGGCGGCAGCAAACGCGAAGACAGCGACGGAGCAAAGCAAAAACCCACACAAGUAGUAACAAAAUGCAAUAAACACAAAGUAAGAGAAACGAAAAAAUUUAUAAACCAUUAGUGAAGAAGAAAGAGAGCUCCAACGAACUUAUAAUGACACGAGAAGACAAUGAAGCUCGCAAAAGAAGAGAGGAACACCAUAACAAAAACGAAGAGAAAACGCAAAGCGCUAAGAAAAAGAAAGUAUGAAAGUGUAAGUGACGCGCUUCAGAAUUAGAGUAAAAAAUGAUUUAAGUAUACGGCUAUUACAAAUAACCGCAUUCGUAAAUGAAGUUAAGUUUUUAAUAAAUUCUACUUUAUUUCAUUUAAUAUCUUUAUUUAUUAGGAAGAAAUUGGAUAUUAACCAUAUGCUUUUAAGAUGAUAAUGUCUAUAAGACAAUUGAGCUAAAUUUAGAUAUUAAAAUAAGAAAGUAGAGUAUGAAAGCAUAAGAGAAGUGUAAACCACACCAAGAAUAACUUAUUUCAGUCUGAUUAAGUCUCAUUUUACACUAAAAUUUAUUCAUAAGCAUGAUCAUAAGAGAAGCCAAGUGAACAACUAAUAAAGGUUUCCACGUUUCUUGAAGGGUCACAAACUUAAAACUUGACGAAGUUCUUUUCCUUCAAGCUCUCCACAGUAUCCUUGAUGCUCACUUCCAAAGGAAUAUAUUCAAUCCCCAAGCUCUUUGCUUUUUCCUUCGAAACCUGAAAUGCUGGAUCAUAUGGCUUAUCAUCUACGCACCUGGUAAUAUUGUUCACAAAGUGAAACCAUAUUAGACGACUAACAUAUAACAAAAGGAAAAACUUACUUUACUAACAAACAAGAUGGUUUAAACCUUCUGAUAGAAGAUUAGACGGUCUAAUGUAAACAAACAGACUAGACUAGACUGUCUGCUGUUGAAUUGAAUAAACUGACCAGACUGUAUGGUGUAAAACCGUCUACACCGAUUUUAUCACCAGUGCUGAAUGCAUUUCUGACACCAAAUUCAGUUUUCAAGCAAGUAAAUAAAGCACCAAAUGGUAAGGUACAACAGAUGCGGACUUAUGUUCACGUUCUACAUAAUUGUUUGCAAUCUUGAAACUACCAAAAUAAUUAUACUCACUUCUCUGGAAGUUGCAAUGUUGGGUACAGAUCACGUAAAAUCUUCACAACGUUUGAGAAGUGUGUCACUCUCUCAACUAGCAGAUAUCUUCCAUUAGCUGAAGCACUCUCAUACGCUAGAACAUGGGCCAUUGCAACAUCUCUCACGUCCACCCAUCCCAAAGUUAUAUUUUUAAAUGUUGGCGAACCUAAAUCGAGGAGAUGGAACAGUUUCUUCAAUUAUCUAAGAAUUGUUCAGCCAAGAAUCAUAACACAGGUUGUUGAAAAAUCAUAACAUAUUAUUAGUCCUCUCUUUCAUAUUCCAUUUUAAUGUAUGUUUUUUAUUUGAUCCAUAACAUUAACAUAGUUUGAGUUGAAAAAAAUUAAUCAAGAUGCAGGCAAAUCAAAUAAUAGGCAUUUUAGAGAAUAACGUAUAAACAGUAAUUACCAUCAACUAAAUCUAAGACCAUAGCAGAACUAGUGUUAAGUUCUGGUUGCAAGAGAGGUCCAACAACCAAUGCCGGGUUCAUUGUAACCAAGUCAAUGUUGUUUUCUUUCACAAAUUUCCAGGCAGCAUCUUCGGCCAAAGUCUUUGAGAGGUUAUACCAUAUCUAAAACAUAAAUUGGAAAUAGCAAGAAAUAUGAAGAACAAGGUAACAUAAUAUACAUGACUAACU
rnacentral:lncRNA from 1 species